rnacentral:rRNA from 1 species
AAAAAUGUGUGUGAGAACAUAGUUAACACUUUGUUGGCAGUCAAUGGAAAAACCAAGGAUAAUAUUAAUUCUCGAUAUGACCUUCAAGCACUCAAUAUUAGAAAGGAUCUUCAACCUAUUGAUCUUGAUGAUGAUGAAGUUUUUUUUCCUCCGGCACCUUACACAAUGAAUUCUGAUCAGCAGAGGACAUUUUGCAAAGUAUUUAAAAAUGCCAUGUUUCCUAAUGGUUAUGCAUCUGACAUACGCCGUAAUGUGCAUGUUAAGGAGAAAAAGUUAACUGGGCUAAAGAGCCAUGACAACCAUGUCCUUUUGCAAGACUUGCUGCCACUUGCAGUGAGAAGAACAUUACCAGAAAGAGUGAGUGCGGUACUGAUUCGUGUGAGCAGAUUUUUCAAGCAAAUGUACUCACAGGUUAUUCACAUAAGUGACAUGCAAAGGUUGCAGGAUGAAAUA